UACGGAGGAUGCAAGCGUUAUCCGGAAUUAUUGGGCGUAAAGAGCGUGCAGGUGGUUGAUUAAGUCUGAUGUGAAAGCCCACGGCUUAACCGUGGAGGGUCAUUGGAAACUGGUCGACUUGAGUGCAGAAGAGGGAAGUGGAAUUCCAUGUGUAGCGGUGAAAUGCGUAGAGAUAUGGAGGAACACCAGUGGCGAAGGCGGCUUCCUGGUCUGUAACUGACACUGAGGCGCGAAAGCGUGGGGAGCAAACAGGAUUAGA
rnacentral:rRNA from 1 species